ACAUUUUCAGCUGUGCUGUGUGUAGUGCUUCACUUCAAUAAGUGCCAUUCAUGUGUCUAGAAAUAUGUUUUGCACCUUUUGGAGUGAAAUAAUGCACAACAGGUACAACCUCAGUGCC
rnacentral:precursor_RNA from 8 species